rnacentral:rRNA from 1 species
AUGGUGCAGGGUAAGUAUAAAGUAACACCGGACUAUCGAGAAGAGGCCGAGCUACUUCGCUGGGAGCAUAAUCUCCUGUCUGAAGCAUUUGUCAGUGUGACGACCUGUCCUGGGUACAAUGGAAAUAACAUCCUUUUACACUCCCAUGUUGUCACAUUAAGUGCACUAAUAAAGUUCAGUACUGCAGAUCAUGAUGCAAAACAUAUUUUAUGCCUUUUGUCUGCUAGGAUUGAAUGUAAGGAGGAGUUGCUUUUGUCUCUACUGAAACCUUUGAACAAAAUUUGGACCCAGCCAGAGUGGAACGAAGAAUACAUGCAUUAUACAUAUCGUCUAACUGGUCUUCUUUGCAAUGAUCAAUUUAGGGAGACAAUAUGUUUGUUGGUAAAGUCAUUUGAGGAGGAGAUCAAAGGAAGCAAAAUUGAACAUUCUACGGGAACACAGGAAAAAUGCCGUCCAACAUCAACUACCAAUUAUCCGUGCUCAUCUACCUUUCCACAACUAAUGCUUGCCCUGCUCUUACGGAUCCUUCAUUUUAUACACAUGGCUUGGAUGGAUCGGUCUGAGUGCUAUGAUCUGCCAGAAAUUAUUUGGAGAGCUAGACUCAUUAGUACCAAUGAGAUAUCCACUUUUCUGAAGGAGAAUAAUACUUUACCUGCCAAUGAUGGAGUUGAUGUUCGUAGGAUGAAUGCUAUUGGAACAUGGUUACGUGAAAUUCGAGAAACUGGGUAUAAUAUCAUAGGCUUGUACGCGUCUGUUGAAAGAUCAAUUUUUGGAUUGGACUGUUCUCUUUCCAUAAAUACUCUUGCAAUGGAUAUAAGCUCCAUGGAAUUUGAUCAUGUGGGGAAACUCAUACAGCUCAGCUUCAUUCCAUUAGUCAGGUGUUGCCCUCGAGGAUGUUGGGACAAAUGGGUGUUGUUGUUGUUGGAAUCUUUAUUUUUCUACUGUAAAGAUAUCUUUGGUUAUGCGUGGCUCAGUCUUAUACACGAGGGACGCGCUGAAGUACCAGCUUACUUUGGCAAUCUUUAUGGACCUGAAGAAAAAGUCAAGAAAUUAGAAGUGGAGCUGCUGCUUAAAUUCACUCGUUCUGUAUCUUAUUUGCUCGGGGUUUUAGCAUCAGAAGAAUUUAAUAGCGGCCUUCCGCAGUUGAAUUGCCCAAAAUCUGACUUGAAAUCCAUAUCUUCCAGCUCCCUUAUGGGGUAUCUUUUACUUCACAAUUGCUUUGGGAGGUUUAGCAUGUACUCCUUGUUUGGGUCUUUGGUGGAUUAUCAAGCAGCUAAGGAAGCACUACCCUUUUGUCAUGCAUUGAUCCGCCUUGCCGUUGCUACUGAUGAUGAGAGACUGAAACAGUUUAUUCUUAAUGAAAUGCUUCCAACUCUUGUCCGGUUUGAUGAUAGGAGUCCCCCAAGUGGAAUCUCAUGGUUAAGAUCGGAGUUAAGUUCAAGCAUAGAAGUGAGUUCUAUGAAGGAUGUUGUUGGCCUUUGUCGGGAAAUAUACGACGUUUACUUGCACAAUCAGAUUACUAUUAUGAAGGGUGAACAGCAGAACAGAAAGACGUGUUCGGAUGGACUCAGUGAUUGGUUUGAAAAGGAAUAGGAGGAUCUUCGUAUACGCGCGUCUUUGCCUGCUCCAAAUGAUUUUCCAAAGUACCUUGUGUGGAAUUGGGAGUUCAAUGAAGAAUUUGACAGAUAUUUUCCUACCUAUAUGGAAAUGUUGCAUGAGGUGGAUACAAUGUAUGACUGUCUGGAGCGUAAAUUUUUAAACGGUGAGGGUCUUCUUGAGAGACUGAAUCCAGAGUUUAAGGCAAAGUAUGCCAUUAACAACUUGCAACAACCUCAUUUGCGAAUCAUGUCCCGUAUGCUACAGAGAAAGGAGAGUGAUGUAUGCUAUUGGCGACGUACUGAUGAGAUCUACGAGUUUUUGGUCCAACUUAUCAAUCUGAAACCUUACAUUAAGGUAUUUGGCCCGGUCUUACAUUUCUCAUUUCUGUAA